rnacentral:rRNA from 1 species
GAGUUUGAUCAUGGCUCAGAUUGAACGCUGGCGGCAGGCCUAACACAUGCAAGUCGAACGGUAACAGGAAACAGCUUGCUGUUUCGCUGACGAGUGGCGGACGGGUGAGUAAUGUCUGGGAAACUGCCUGAUGGAGGGGGAUAACUACUGGAAACGGUAGCUAAUACCGCAUAACGUCGCAAGACCAAAGAGGGGGACCCUCGGGCCUCUUGCCAUCGGAUGUGCCCAGAUGGGAUUAGCUUGUUGGUGGGGUAACGGCUCACCAAGGCGACGAUCCCUAGCUGGUCUGAGAGGAUGACCAGCCACACUGGAACUGAGACACGGUCCAGACUCCUACGGGAGGCAGCAGUGGGGAAUAUUGCACAAUGGGCGCAAGCCUGAUGCAGCCAUGCCGCGUGUAUGAAGAAGGCCUUCGGGUUGUAAAGUACUUUCAGCGGGGAGGAAGGGAGUAAAGUUAAUACCUUUGCUCAUUGACGUUACCCGCAGAAGAAGCACCGGCUAACUCCGUGCCAGCAGCCGCGGUAAUACGGAGGGUGCAAGCGUUAAUCGGAAUUACUGGGCGUAAAGCGCACGCAGGCGGUUUGUUAAGUCAGAUGUGAAAUCCCCGGGCUCAACCUGGGAACUGCAUCUGAUACUGGCAAGCUUGAGUCUCGUAGAGGGGGGUAGAAUUCCAGGUGUAGCGGUGAAAUGCGUAGAGAUCUGGAGGAAUACCGGUGGCGAAGGCGGCCCCCUGGACGAAGACUGACGCUCAGGUGCGAAAGCGUGGGGAGCAAACAGGAUUAGAUACCCUGGUAGUCCACGCCGUAAACGAUGUCGACUUGGAGGUUGUGCCCUUGAGGCGUGGCUUCCGGAGCUAACGCGUUAAGUCGACCGCCUGGGGAGUACGGCCGCAAGGUUAAAACUCAAAUGAAUUGACGGGGGCCCGCACAAGCGGUGGAGCAUGUGGUUUAAUUCGAUGCAACGCGAAGAACCUUACCUGGUCUUGACAUCCACGGAAGUUUUCAGAGAUGAGAAUGUGCCUUCGGGAACCGUGAGACAGGUGCUGCAUGGCUGUCGUCAGCUCGUGUUGUGAAAUGUUGGGUUAAGUCCCGCAACGAGCGCAACCCUUAUCCUUUGUUGCCAGCGGUCCGGCCGGGAACUCAAAGGAGACUGCCAGUGAUAAACUGGAGGAAGGUGGGGAUGACGUCAAGUCAUCAUGGCCCUUACGACCAGGGCUACACACGUGCUACAAUGGCGCAUACAAAGAGAAGCGACCUCGCGAGAGCAAGCGGACCUCAUAAAGUCGUCGUAGUCCGGAUUGGAGUCUGCAACUCGACUCCAUGAAGUCGGAAUCGCUAGUAAUCGUGGAUCAGAAUGCCACGGUGAAUACGUUCCCGGGCCUUGUACACACCGCCCGUCACACCAUGGGAGUGGGUUGCAAAAGAAGUAGGUAGCUUAACCUUCGGGAGGGCGCUUACCACUUUGUGAUUCAUGACUGGGGUGAAGUCGUAACAAGGUA